rnacentral:rRNA from 1 species
CCUACGGGUGGCUGCAGUGGGGAAUAUUGCACAAUGGGGGAAACCCUGAUGCAGCCAUGCCGCGUGUGUGAAGAAGGCCUUCGGGUUGUAAAGCACUUUCAGCGAGGAGGAAAGGUCAGUAGCUAAUAUCUGCUGGCUGUGACGUUACUCGCAGAAGAAGCACCGGCUAACUCCGUGCCAGCAGCCGCGGUAAUACGGAGGGUGCAAGCGUUAAUCGGAAUUACUGGGCGUAAAGCGCACGCAGGCGGUUGGAUAAGUUAGAUGUGAAAGCCCCGGGCUCAACCUGGGAAUUGCAUUUAAAACUGUCCAGCUAGAGUCUUGUAGAGGGGGGUAGAAUUCCAGGUGUAGCGGUGAAAUGCGUAGAGAUCUGGAGGAAUACCGGUGGCGAAGGCGGCCCCCUGGACAAAGACUGACGCUCAGGUGCGAAAGCGUGGGGAGCAAACAGGAUUAGAUACCCUAGUAGUC